rnacentral:rRNA from 1 species
AGUGAACGCUGGCGGCGUGCCUAACACAUGCAAGUCGAACGAAUUGCUUUAAAGGAAGUUUUCGGAUGGAAUUUAAAGUAGUUAGUGGCGGACGGGUGAGUAACACGUGGAUAAUCUACCUGCAACACCGGGAUAACGCUGUGAAAACGGUGCUAAUACCGGAUACGUUCCCUUGUGCGCAUGUAUGAGGGAAGAAAGCUCAGGCGGUUGCAGAUGAGUCCGCGGCUGAUUAGCUAGUUGGUGAGGUAAAGGCUCACCAAGGCGAUGAUCAGUAGCCGGCCUGAGAGGGUGAACGGCCACACUGGGACUGAGACACGGCCCAGACUCCUACGGGAGGCAGCAGUGGGGAAUCUUCCGCAAUGGGCGCAAGCCUGACGGAGCAACGCCGCGUGGGUGAAGAAGGCCUUCGGGUUGUAAAGCCCUGUCUUAUGGGAAGAAGUCAGUGACGGUACCAUAGGAGGAAGCCACGGCUAACUACGUG